UACGUAGGGGGCGAGCGUUGUUCGGAAUUACUGGGCGUAAAGGGCGCGUAGGCGGGAUGGCAAGUCGGUCGUGAAAUCCUUCGGCUCAACCGAAGAACGUCGAUCGAUACUGCUGUUCUUGAGGGUUGCAGAGGAGACUGGAAUUCCCGGUGUAGCGGUGAAAUGUGUAGAGAUCGGGAGGAACACCGGUGGCGAAGGCGGGUCUCUGGGCAAUUCCUGACGCUGAGGCGCGAAAGCGUGGGGAGCAAACGGG
rnacentral:rRNA from 1 species